GACGAACGCUGGCGGCGUGCUUAACACAUGCAAGUCGAACGAAGUGGCGAACGGGUGAGUAACGCGUCAUCAACCUGCCCUUCAGAGGGGGCCAACAGCUGGAAACGACUGCUAAUACCGCACACUGAAGGAGCGGAUUGCGUCUGAUUAGCUAGUUGGAGGGGUAACGGCCCACCAAGGCGAUGCUCAGUAGCAGGUGUGAGAGGAUGAACGGCCACAUUGGGACUGAGACACGGCCCAGACGCCUACGGGAGGCAGCAGUGGGGAAUCUUGGGCAAUGGACGAAAGUCUGACGGGGCAACGCCGCGUGAGUGAUGACGGCCUUCGGGUUGUAAAGCUCUGAUAAUCGGGACGCGGUACCGGAAUAGAAAGCCACGGCUAACUACGUGCCAGCCGCCGCGGUAAUAC
rnacentral:rRNA from 1 species